rnacentral:rRNA from 1 species
GACGAACGUUGGCGGCGUGCUUAAUACAUGCAAGUCAACUGAAGCAGUGGUAGCAAUAUCGCUGUGGAGGUGGCGCACGGGGGAGUAACACGUAGGUAAUCUGCCUUCAGGUCUGGCAUAACUCCGGGAAACCGGGGCUAAUAGCAGAUGAUGCAGCGGCUCGACAUCGAGACAGUUGUUAAAGCUAUGGCGCCUGAAGAUGAGCCAGCGUCUGAUUAGCUAGUUGGCGGGGUAACGGCCCACCAAGGCAACGAUCAGUAGCUGGUCUGAGAGGAUGAUCAGCCACACUGGAACUGAGACACGGUCCAGACUCCUACGGGAGGCAGCAGUAAGGAAUAUUGCUCAAUGGGAGAAAUCCUGAAGCAGCCCCGCCGCGUGAGGGCCGAAGGGCUUUUGCUUGUAAACCUCUGUAGUGAGAGAAAAAAAUCCCAAUCUUUGGGACAUGAUGGUAUCUUAAAAGUAAGCCCCGGCUAACUACGUG